GAUGAACGCUGGCGGCGUGCAUAACACAUUCAAGUCGAACGGAAUGUAGCAAUACAUUUAGUGGCGGACGGGUGAGUAACGCGUGAGUAACCUGCCUUCAAGUGGGAACAACAGUUGGAAACGACUGCUAAUACCGACAUAACGCAACCGAAUCGCAUGUUUUGGUUGUCAAAGGGCUGCAAGGCUUGCUUGAAGAUGGACUCGCGUCCGAUUAGGUAGUUGGUGAGGCAACGGCUCACCAAGCCGACGAUCGGUAGCCGGACUGAGAGGUUGAACGGCCACAUUGGAACUGAGAUACGGUCCAGACUCCUACGGGAGGCAGCAGUGGGGAAUAUUGGGCAAUGGGCGAAAGCCUGACCCAGCGACGCCGCGUGAAGGAAGAAGGUCUUCGGAUUGUAAACUUUUGUUGUAAGGGACGAAACAAAUGACGGUACCUUACGAGGAAGCCACGGCUAACUACGUGCCAGCAGCCGCCGUAAGAC
rnacentral:rRNA from 1 species